rnacentral:rRNA from 1 species
AUUGAACGCUGGCGGCAUGCCUAACACAUGCAAGUCGAGCGAGCGGCGGACGGGUGAGUAAUGUAUGGGGACUGCCCGCUCGAGGGGGAUAACUCCUGGCAACGGUAGCUAAUACCGCAUACUAUCGGAUAACCCAUAUGGGAUUAGCUAGUAGGUAAGGUAAGGGCUCACCUAGGCGACGAUCCCUAGCUGGUCUGAGAGGAUGAGCAGCCACACUGGGACUGAGACAAGGCCCAGACUCCUACGGAGGCAGCAGUGGGGAAUAUUGGACAAUGGGCGCAAGCCUGAUGCAGCCAUGCCGCGCGUAUGAAGAAGGCCCUAGGGUUGUAAAGUACUUUCAGGAGGGAGGCGUUACCAACAGAAGAAGCACAGGCGAACUCCGUGCCAGCAGCCGCGGUAAUUC